GAGACGGGGUUUCACCAUUUUGGCCAGGCUGGCGUCCACCUCCUGACCUCAAGUUAUCCACCUGCCUCGGCCUUCCAAAGUACUGAGAUUACAGGUGUGAGCCACCGUGCCCAGCCCAAUUUCUCUUAUUUCUUAUCAAAAUAGGAUUGGAAGUUAUUACUACAUUGGAAAAUUCUCACCAUAUGAAUUCAUUACAAAUAUAUUUAUAUAUUAAAUUUUAUAUAAUGUAUUUCAUGCUUACUGUUUUUAUAUUUCAUAGUUAUAUUAAUCAGCAUAAUCUGAUUUUGUAGUCAUUUUAUUCUAAGUUAAAAAUGGCUCCUUCUGCUAUUAUUAAAGAAAAAUAACUAAACCAAGUAGACAAAAAUGAAAAUUACAGAGAAACUUGUUUCUCAUAGAAGAAAGCCUCUGUCUCAAACAGAGAGGGGUAGUCUUAUUACACUUGUCCCAUAAUCCUCACCUAUGACCUUGAGCUCUUAUAACAUAUUAUUUGGAAACAGAAUGACUACGCAAAAGUAUAUUAUGAAAUACACUUCUCCGUGAAAUACCAAGGAUGGCAAAAAAUGAAGAUCAUCAAGGACUAAUCCACUGACUGAUUAAGGAAUACACUAUUGCUCAUUGAGAUUACCUUGAGACAAUUAAUUAUUUCCUAUUUGUAGGCAGAAAUAUCUUUGGGUUGUUACUGACAAGCUCAUUUGGAAUACAAAGAAAACCAAGUAUGGUGUCAGUUUAUGUAAAAUGAAUGUACCGUAUAAAAUAUGGAAGACCUAAGCUCAAUGUAUAACAUAUCUAGCUUUAUCUGUGCUCACCCUAUUAAUUUCAUGUACCUCUGUCAACUUUAAAGGUGAUUUAUAUGGCCUUAUACAAAUAGCCAUAUGAGAAAUAGGUCUAAAUAGUGUUUAUUUCCUCUGUUUGCUGCAUUCUUGUCCUCAAAUGUUUUUAUAGUUUGCUAUGUCUGCUUUGAAAAUUUGCAAAAUUCCAUGUCAUGGGUGUUGAAAGUGUAUUGCUACACUGCGUUUACAUAGUUCAGCAUUCUGUUAAUAUGUAUUUCUAAGGCUUUUAAUAUAGCAAAUUGUUUGUACACUUUCAAUUGAUGUGAUACAUUAGAUUUUUAAAAAAUCAAUCUAAGUUUUAGCAUUAUGUUUAUUAAAUUUCCCAUUGUAGCCACUCACCUUCGCAACUUAUAUGUUUACAAAACUAUUAGUAUGAAAUGAUAAACCUCAUUGUUAAAUUAUCUUUAAAGAGAUAAUUAUGUCUAUUUUUAAAAAUGUAAUAAAAAUUCCGAGCAACGUGAGAAAGUGGAAAAUUGGGAUCUCAGGAUCAUCUGGAAUAGAACUGUGGGUAGUUUAUCUUCUCAGCUGUCUCCUAGCAUUAUCCUUAAUCUGCUUCCCAGGCGUCUGAGCUCCUCCAUGUAAGACUGAAAAUGUAUUUCAACAUCUAACUUGUAUUAUUACUUUCUCAGUUUGUUACCUGCAUUCAUGAUAAUGGUUGAAGUUUUGAGUCUCUGGUCAGUAAGAUCAUUGAAUUUUUAGUUACACUAUGACAUAAUGAUUAUUCUCCCCAUUUUACAGCUCAUGGAACUAAGGAUCCAAAACGCUAAGUUGUUCAUCUCAGGUUACAGUGCUUAUGAAUGAGUAGCAUAAUCCAAAAGGAGCAAGAGUCAGGCAUUUGAAUUCUAGACCUGGUUGUUCUCCAAUAGAGUCUACAUUAGGGCUUUGGAAAGUCAUUCAUUCUCCCUGUGAUUUUUCUCAAAUAUCUGUGAAAUGAACUUCUAGACUCCAGAUCUGUUAAUGGUUUCUUCAAGCCCUAAAAUAUUAGGAAGACUCUUACAUAAAUAGUAUGAAUAAUGAAACAUUCAACCAUCUGAAAAUGAAGUUAUUCAAGAUGGGAUAGAAGAAAGGAGCAUUGUGUACUUAUCAAAGCCCUUUAUUUUUAUGUUGCAUAUUUUUACUUGUUCUCUCAGUUUCAUGUAACAUUAUAUAUUUUAAUGAAGAUUACGUAUUAAAUAAGUUGUACUUAUUAAAAAUGUUACUAAGCAUGAGUUUUAAAUGACUACAUGAAACUUAGAAUUUUAAAACUCUGAAACACUUUUAUGUCAGAUCAUUAGUAAUGAUUCUGGUGUCAGGAAAUGUGGUGUCUAUAACUAGCCAUGUGUAAUGCUGCACCUGUGUCAAGAUGAAAGUAAAUGGAUACGUAAGCUUCUGUAGAGUCUCAUGCUGAGUUUGUUCAGCCUGUUUCUGUAAAUAUAUCUGUCUCUUACAUCUGUUUUCUUCAAAUACGAAAAUCCACAGCUAAGUGUCUCGGAAACAAAAUAGAAUGAUGAACAGAAUACUCAGAGAGCAGGGACCAUAGUCUCUAAAUACUGUGACAUUCUUCUAACAUGGGAACUGUACAUACUUCACUCAUUUUUCUUCAGAAAACAAAAGGGAAAAUAUUUUAAAAGUGCAGAAUAACAACCUAAAUACCAUACUGUAUUAGAUGCAUGGGUUAUUAUUCUGCCUUCAAAUCCUUCAAUUUUAGUGAAAUAUAGUGUUCUUAUGCAAUGUGAUCUGUGAAGUAAGGAUUGUAAAGGAAGAAAGCAACAGUAAAUACAUAUAUGUGCGUCUGUGUGUGCAUAUGUAUAUAGUAAAAAUAAAUAUAAAAUUAAAAUAUUAUGUAUAGAUGUGUUUGUGUUUGUAUGCUUAUAUGUAAUAUCUUGCAUGUAUUUACUAUCUUACUAUUUUUAUCACAUAUAAAAAGAAAUUUCUUAUUCCUGCUUGCAAGGGCAAUCGAAAUCUAACAUAGAAACUAGUGGACAUUCACGAUCAAAUCUAUAUAAUGAUGAUAAGUUGUCUAACAUUUCUAACAUCUUUGUGCCUGUUUCUUCAUUUAUAAAGUGAGGGUAACAACAGCACUUCCAUAUAGAUAGGGUCAUUUUGCAGGUUAAAUGGUUAAUGUAUGUAAAGCAGUACCAGGCAUUUAGUAAGCUCUAAAUAAAUAUUAAAUGUAAUUCUCAAGAUAUCAUCAUCAUCAUCAUCAUCAUGAAUUACCAUUUAAUUCUGAAGGUAAGAAAUACUCUUUUAAAUAUGUAUGUUAAGUAACUUGGCACGUUGACCUUGUCAGCACUGUUUAUAUUUUAUUCACUGAUGGUCAGGUUUACAUCUAGGAGACAGAAGAAGUUAAAUUGUUUUAUAAUGUAUGCUACUCUGUGUUGAAAGUCCUGUGAGAGUCACUGAAACAGAUGGGCAAAACUUGUUUUCUGUGUAAAUCUACAAGAAUUGUUCCUGGAGAGUUGAGAAAGGUUAGUUAAUUCACGCAGAAACCUAAGAUGUACAUAUGCAGAACAAAUUAGUACAGUGGUCUGCCAAACAUGUUUUUGUUUUCCUGCCUCAAGAUAGAGAAUUCUAUGUGACAUUAAUGUAUGUUCAUCUCACUGU
rnacentral:lncRNA from 1 species